rnacentral:rRNA from 1 species
UUAUUGAAACAUUGUAAAGGAGAGUUGAGCUGGUCCUUCACGGGCAAGUGCUCGCUUUUCUUUCAAUCUUCAUCCACCUGUGCACCUUUUGUAGAGAGUUCUGAGAAAUAUGAGGAAGCCCUUUCAGUAGGGUUCGUUCUAAGUAUCAGGUCCUCUAUGUUUUUAUACACCCUUGAAUGUAUGUUUUUGAAUGUGUAUAUGAAGGGACCUUAAUUGGACCUUUUAAAAACUAUACAACUUUCAGCAACGGAUCUCUUGGCUCUCGCAUCGAUGAAGAACGCAGCGAAAUGCGAUAAGUAAUGUGAAUUGCAGAAUUCAGUGAAUCAUCGAAUCUUUGAACGCACCUUGCGCCUCUUGGUAUUCCGAGAGGCAUGCCUGUUUGAGUGUCAUUAAAUUCUCAACCUCAAAAGACUUUUUGUUUGAUGAAGCUUGGAUGUGGAGGCUUUGCUGGCUCUUUCUUGGAGUCCGGCUCCUCUGAAAAUGCAUUAGUGGAAAACUGUUUGUAGUCCGCAUUGGUGUGAUAAUUAUCAGCGCUAUUGUGGCUACAAGCUUGUCGUGGUGUUCGCUUGGAAAAGUGCAUGAAAGUGCUCUCUCUGUUUUGUUUGACCUACGCAAGUUGAUAGUAUUCGCUCCAAACCGUCCUAAGUUACUGGACAACAUUUGAUUAUUUUGACCUCAAAUCAGGUAGGACUACCCGCUGAACUUAAGCAUAUCAAUAAGCGGAGGAAAAGAAACUAACAAGGAUUCCCCUAGUAACUGCGAGUGAAGAGGGAAAAGCUCAAAUUUAAAAUCUGGCAGCUUCGCUGUCCG